rnacentral:rRNA from 1 species
UACGUAGGGUGCAAGCGUUAUCCGGAAUUAUUGGGCGUAAAGAGCUCGUAGGCGGUUUGUCGCGUCUGCUGUGAAAACUGGAGGCUCAACCUCCAGCCUGCAGUGGGUACGGGCAAACUAGAGUGCGGUAGGGGAGAUUGGAAUUCCUGGUGUAGCGGUGGAAUGCGCAGAUAUCAGGAGGAACACCGAUGGCGAAGGCGGGUCUCUGGGCCGUAACUGACGCUGAGGAGCGAAAGCAUGGGGAGCGAACAGG